UGGAGAGGUGCCAUCGGUCCCCCUCGGCGCCAAAAUCCCUUGGAACGGGGUAUCGGAGAAGGUGAGAAUCCUGUCAAGCGCCGGAGUGGGACCGUACGAUGUGCUCUCGUAGAGUCGGGCUGCUUGGGAGUGCAGCCUGAAGCGGGUGGUAAAUUCCAUCUAAAGCUAAAUACUGGCGGGAGACCGAUAGCGAACAAGUACCGUGAGGGAAAGAUGCAAAGAACUUUGAAAAGAGAGUUAAAGAGUGCUUGAAAUUGGCAGGAGGAAACCCGGUUGCGCGUGGCAUUUGGCGUGGUCGACUCAGCCGCGCGCGAGAUCUGUAGGGGACCUAACGGCCUCGUGGUCAGCGCGCGCGGUGCACUUCGGCCGCGUCGGUCAGCCGCGUUUCUGCGCGGCCCAGACGGCCGUGGGCAGGGCUUCGGCGCCGCCUGCGGUUUGGGGGUCGCGCGGGAUCCCGGCUGAUGCGCACGGGCGCAACCGACCCGUCUAGAAACACGGACCAAGGAGUCUGACGCGUGUGC
rnacentral:rRNA from 1 species